GACGAACGCUGGCGGCGUGCUUAACACAUGCAAGUCGAACGAUGAUGCCCAGCUUGCUGGGUUGAUUAGUGGCGAACGGGUGAGUAACGCGUGAGUAACCUGCCCAUCACUCUGGGAUAACUCCGGGAAACCGGUGCUAAUACCGGGUAUGACUCCGAUCCGCAUGGGUACGGGGUGGAAAGAUUUAUCGGUGGUGGAUGGACUCGCGGCCUAUCAGCUUGUUGGUGGGGUAAUGGCCUACCAAGGCGACGACGGGUAGCCGGCCUGAGAGGGUGACCGGCCACACUGGGACUGAGACACGGCCCAGACUCCUACGGGAGGCAGCAGUGGGGAAUAUUGCACAAUGGGCGGAAGCCUGAUGCAGCGACGCCGCGUGUGGGAUGACGGCCUUCGGGUUGUAAACCGCUUUCAGCUCUGACGAAGCUUUUGUGACGGUAGGAGCAGAAGAAGCACCGGCUAACUACGUGCCAGCCGCCGCGGUAAUAC
rnacentral:rRNA from 1 species